rnacentral:tRNA from 1 species
GCGGGGUUAGUUUAAUGGUAAAACAUCAGCCUUCCAAGCUGGUUAUACGGGUUCGAUUCCCGUACCCCGCU